rnacentral:rRNA from 1 species
UACAGAGGAGCCAAGCGUUGUCCGGAUUGACUGGGCGUAAAGCGCACGCAGGCGGUCGUGCGCGUGGGGUGUGAAAUCUGGCCGCUUAACGGCCAGGCGCCAUCCCAUACGGCACGCUGGAGCGAUGCAGAGGUCGGUGGAAUUGCCGGUGUAGUGGUGAAAUGCGUAGAGAUCAGGCAGAACACCUGGGGCGAAGGCGGCCAGCUGGGGCCGUCCCUGACGCUGAGGCGCGAAGGCGUGGGGAGCGAACGGGG